UUUCUCUAACCUAACUGCGGUUGCGCCUCUCUUUUCUUCUUCCUCUUCUCUUCUCCUCUAUUAUGAGCGAAGAUUUUAGAAGAUUUCUCUUUUUAUUUCGUUGAUUUGUUUUUCAAUCGUAUUAUUCAGUCGUAUAAAACUUGAAGAGAGAAUUGCUGAGUUUUCUUUCUCUUCAAAGUUUAUAGGAAGAAUAAUACCAAACCCCAACCAUGAAUCACUCAAAAUACACGCACAAUUUUACCUAUUUUAUUACGUUCUAAACCCAUAGUUGUUCAUACUUCGCCGAAUCACGAACCUAAUUUUCGUUUUACCUUCUCAAACCCUACGUCCAGUUUAUUUGAUCUCUGUAGAAGUAGAAGAUGGUUGCAGAUGUUUACUAGUAAUUGAUGGUUUCCUGACUCUUACGAGGUGUUGAGGGAGGACCAUCAUGUUGUAGGAGUGUUUUUUUGGUGUAUGUGGAGGAUUAGGAGGUGUUGGUGUUGCAGGCGGUGGUGGACUAGCAGAGGUUGCUGGUGGAGGUAGACGCACAGGUGGCUGAAGUGAUGGUGGAGGGCAUGAAAAGACAUUGUAGAUGCUUGUCCACCAAAUCCUAUUUUAAGAGAGGAUAUGCUGAAGCUUUAGUUGGCUUCUGCUGAUAUGAUCAGGAUCCUUCCUUCAGCACAGAAGUGUUUGGGCACCGACGCUGUUACCAUGAUAUUUGGCGCUGAUCGAAAGGUUUACAUACGCGGUAUGGGUGCUGGUGUUUCUAAAACUCAAAUCCUCGGGGCUGUGUUUUUGAAGGCCAAUUUGCAGGAAGUGAAGCACAGUGUGCCGAAAUAGAAGCCAAAAAAUGAAGCUUUGGAAGCAUAGUUAGAUGCUGAAAAACAGAAAUCCAACAUUGGAGUUCAUGAUCAGAUCCUUAAUAGCUCUUAUCAGCAGGUAACACUAGUACCUACACUACUGAAAUUCAGAAAUUUAAAUGGUUUACUUCUCGAAAAACUAUGGUGCAUAUCCUGAUGUUAACAUUCAAUAUGUCUCCCAUAUAUUAGUCCAUAUUCAGCCUUAAUUAGUUGUUACUGUCCAGGUAUUAGAGGGAAACCCUAAGAACCUUCAAUCUUAUAUCCAUACUUAAUUGAAAUUAUGUACCUGUGUUGUAGGAUUUCCUUUAUCUUGUUUGUUGAUGUCACUUGUACAAAGAGUGAGAUUUCUGAAUACUCCAUUGCUCUGAACACUAUCAGAUGAAGCAAGAUUUGGGGGCUUCUGCAUUAUAUGGAGUCAUCGUUAAUAAAACUGACUCAUUACCGUGUCUGUCAAGUUGUCAGUUACAGUUCAUUCAGUCUUUCUGUGGUAUUGGUCCCUUAGCUCAUUCUUUAUUUUUUGCAUCACAAACUGGACAAGUUUCAGAAGUAUAGGAGUCAAGGAAUUUGUACCUAUGUUGAUGAUAUCCUCGUCACUAAUGUCAUAGGUAAUAAAACUCAGUUAUGCCUUUAAGAUUUGGGGGGCUUCUGCAUUAUCUGCACUAACCGUUAAGAAACCUCACUGUAAGUUGUCAGUUACAGUUCAUUGAGCCUUUGAACUUAUGACAUUCAAGUUCGACUCAAGUUAUGAAUCUUAAAUUAAAUUGGUUUCUCAUUAUACAAGAUAUAUUGGAGCUCCAGCAACACCUUUGACGUUUGGUCUCUGCUUUUGGAGGAACUUUAUGAAAAGACCGGUAGCAUCUUCAUAUGUUGAUAGUGCAAAGCUGUUGAUUGAUGACAAUUAUGCCUGCAUGAUUGAUGACAUCAUUGAUCCAAGGGCGGCGUUAUGUGAUAGAGAUGAUGCAGUAUUUGGGGAUGUGUCAAGAGGUGACACGAUUAAGUGGCCACAAGCUUAUGUAAUUCCUGUAGGAGAGCGACCAAAUUAGAUUAACAAGGAGAAAUUAGAUUGCAUUCGAUGUUCAACAUGUAGCUUUUAUUGUUCUGUCUUUGAAGAUUUUAUUUUCUUGACUGUUAUUUUGGAUAAUUAAUUAAUAAAAAUUUAUUUCAGAUACA